GAUUCGUUAGCUCAGCUGGUAGAGCAACGCCCUUUUAAGGCGUGGGUCCUGGGUUCGAGCCCCAGACGAAUCA
rnacentral:tRNA from 1 species